rnacentral:lncRNA from 1 species
UUAUUUGCAUAAAAAAAACAUACAAGGAAUAAGCCUAAUGUUAGGAAUGGUUCGUUUUAGGACUCUUAAACCUAACAAGUUCACAAGAAAAUAAAGCAAGUUUACAAGAUUAUAGUUUCAUGGUAGUUAUCUGUCUCUCAAACAAAAAAAAUCUGUCUCUCCUCCAAGCUAGCAAGUACCCAGCCAAGUGAUAACAUUCUUGCUGCAGCAGCAUAUCCACAUAUCCUCUGUGCAAUUUGCUUGUCACUGCAUCUUUCAAAUUAAUCUUUGGCACCAUCUGAUAAUGAAAGCCAUGGUUGAAUUUCAAAGUCAACUGCACCUUCCUAUAUGACAUCAAAUAUACUCUCUCAGUCUAUGCACAAGUAUAUAUAAAGUUAGGGGUGAUGAGAGCACAGUCAAAAAGAAUAUAAUGAAUGAAUUGAAUUUACUAGCCCAAAAUGGAGGUACACUACAGUAAGUAUCCAUCUCUAAUUCUUCUUUACCCGAAGUCUUUUAUGCAUAGCACUAGCAUCCCUCAUAUACCUUAUAGAUGAUAACAUCAACUUUAUAAAUUGAAACAAACAUAAAAAUGAUCGGCAGCAAAAAAACAAGCAUUUCACACAAGCAAAUAGAAACAACAUAUAAAGCAAACAUAGAGGCUCCCCAAUUUUUCCCCUACCUUUGUUAACUUUCACAUGAAGUAUGAAGCUCCUAAUAAAAAGAUAUAACCAUUAGUUUAACCAAUAGUAUGCAAUGUCUGUUUCAUUUAUAACUCAAUUUAACACUAAGCUCAGAUGCUAAACAGAAGAUACAAUAGUAAGCCAAAACAGUUUCACACAAUAACACAACAACACAAUUUAGCUUUUUGAACCAGUCGCCUUAACUUCAAAAACUGUACAAAUCCUUAAGGAAUUUGAUUUCGAUUUCUUCUAAUGACUUAUAGCAGAUACACAAAAGAAACUCAUAGACUUGGAAUCAACUUAAAAUGAUUUUUCUUGAAUUAGUUAUGGAUUUUCAAAGUUCAGCUUCAGUUUCAGGUUUUUCUGAAAAUUUCCUGCUAUGUGCCUAAACUUAGAAUUUAAAAGCAAAUAAGAAACUCUAUGUGAUACUAAACUUCUAGCAACUGAACAUAACCACUCCAAUGUUUCAAAAAGGAAACACACAAAACUUGCAACAUAAGUAGCUAAAUUAGAUUACCACAACGACAGCUAACAUAAGAUAACAAGUAAAUAUAGUUCUACACUUCUAAUGUUCAUCCAACUUUAAGCAUACCAAAACCUUGAUCUCUAACUUCAAUUUGAGAAACAAAUUACAUGUAUAAGAACCUUAUAGUCUAAUCUAUAUAUCUAUAUAAUAACAUAAAAGAGUAAGAAUCAUAGGCAAACACUGAGACUAAAAAGCAAAGGUACAAAAUCAGAAAAGUGCCUAACUGAAAUUCUGACCAGAAAAGCCUUUGGUUAAAAACGAUAUGGUUCAACUAGGAAUUAAAGCUUGGUGUCUUCAUGGCAUUUGAAAUAGACAUCCUAAAUAUCAAUCUGGAACUGGAAUCGUACAAAAAAGAUUUUCCUACAAUUACUUAUGAUUUUUCAAAGUUGAACACCUGCAUCACGAAAAUCACUGAUUUUGACUCAGAUUAAGUUUCCCCUUUUAAAGAUGAUUCCCAAUAGGUAACAACUAACAACAAAGAAAUACCCAAUCCUAAUGCUUUACUUCCUACCAAGAUGAUCCUCCAUAACAAGAAGCAUAAAUACUGAAGUAAAACACCAACAUUGAAAGCAGAAAGUCAUAAAGAAUCAUCUAUAUAUACUAUUACAAUAUACAUAAUAAACACAACAUAUACGUUGACAAACACAACAACUCUAUAGAAACUCAUCUUUUCUGUAAGAAUUGACUAAGUGACUAACAUGGUUCACAAAGGAAUAACCAAUUGAUCAAGAACAUAAAAGAUGCAGACCUGAAUUGUUCUUCAUAUAUUCCUAUUCUCUCUCUNNNNNNNNNNNNNNNNNNNNAGUGUAGCCGCCCGGUAAAUGUUUCGAGGGUGCACAAGGUUGACUACUUUUCACGCGUCACCCUUAGUAAGGUCAUCAAGAUAAAACACUUGUUUUACCGAUGUGACAAAAACGAACGGGUCAUUUUCGUAACAACUUGUAGCAGUGUUCACCGAUAAUAUUUUGUACUGAUCGGUCUUCAUGCUCUGCGGCCUAGUAUCAAACCAUCUACACUUGAAGAGGUGCACUGUCAUGCCUUGCCCAUAAACGAGUUCCACCACUGAAUGGAGAACACCGUAAUAGUCAACUCCAUUCCGCCCAUCAUGCGCCAUGACCCCAGAAUUUUGUGUUCUCCGUCUGCUGUCUCUCUGUUCACAUAUAAAUUGCACGCCAUUCAUCUUGCACAUCGGAUAAACUCUUGACAUUAUCGGCUUCAUCGCUAGAAGUCUUAGUUCGUGCGACCAAUUUGGGUGACCAUCAAAUUGAAUAUGGUUCAUCUGCAACCACCCAUUCAACUGUAAAUAUGGAUAAUUAUGCAAUAAACAUAAACACGUACAGAAAUAUUAAAUUACGUAUCCAGCCGCCAAAAUAAUCUGCGAACUCUCUGUUGUGGUACUCGAGAUGACCUUGAAUGUCUGGACAAUAUAGAUGGAUGUCUUUCCAGUAUUCAACUUCUCGAUAGUUAACACUAUAAAAAACAAGUAGAUUGGCCACGGCGCAAAACCGUCACCAAUAGCCUUUUUGCCGUGGCAAAACAGUAUUCGCGACGGCGCUGCGACGGCAAAACGUCCGUCACAAAUAGUGGCAUCGCCAAUGGUAUUUGCGACGGCAAUUACGCCGUCGCAAGAGAAUUAGCGACGGCAAACCUUUGUCGUCGCAAGAAGAUACGACGGUGUAAUUGCCGUCGCCAAUACCAUUAGUGACGCCACCAUUUGCGACCACAGCUUUUGCGACGGUAGCAAUGCCGUGGCAAAAGAGUUAUUUAUGAAUAAAAAAAAAUUGGCAUACAAAUAUACACUGCAAAUUUUUAUUAUUAUUUGCAUAAAAAAACAUACAAGGAAUAAGUCUAAUGUUAGGAAUGAUUCGUUUUAGGAAUCUUAAACCUAACAAGUUCACAAGAAAAUAAAGCUAAGUUUACAAGAUUAUAGUUUCAUGGUAGUGUUUACAAGAUUAUAGUUUCAUGGUAGUUAUCUGUCUCUCAAAAAAAAAUGUGUCUCUCCUCCAAGCUAGCAAGUACCCAGCCAAGUGAUAACAUUCUUGCUGCAGCAGCAUAUCCACAUAUCCUCUGUGCAAUUUGCUUGUGACUGCAUAUUUCAAAUUAAUCUUUGACACCAUCUGAUAAUGAAAGCCAUGGUUGAAUUUCAAAGUCAACUGCACCUUCCUAUAUGACAUCAAAUAUACUCUUUCAGUCUAUGCACAAGUAUAUAUAAAGUUAGGGGUGAUGAGAGCACAGUCAUAAAGAAUAUAAUGAAUGAAUUGAAUUUACCAGCCCAAAAUGGAGGUACACUACAGUAAGUAUCUAUCUCUAAUUCUUCUUUACCCAAACUGUUUUAUGCAUAGCACUAGCAUCCCUCAUAUACCUUAUACAUCAACUUUAUAAAUCGAAACAAACAUAAAAAUGAUCGGCAGCAAAGAAACAAGCAUUUCACACAAGCAAAUAGAAACAACAUAUAAAGCAAACAUAGAGGCUCCCUAAUUUUUCCCCUACCUUUGUUAACUUUCACAUGAAGUAUGAAGCUCCUAAUAAAAAGAUAUAACCAUUAGUUUAAGCAAUAAUAUGCAAUGUCUGUUUCAUUUAUAACUCAAUUUAAGACUAAGCUUAGAUGCUAAACAGAAGAUACAAUAGUAAGCCAAAACAGUUUCACACAAUAACACAACAACACAAUUUAGCUUUCUGAACCAGUCGCCUUAACUUCAAAA